AUAAAAUUCAUAAGAUGUUUUCAUUUUCUCUGUAUACGUGAUACAAUGUGGUGACAUUUGGAAAAGAACAAGCAUAAGCUAAAAAACCUAUAGAAGUGAACUGUGUGUGUUAAGAGAAGAUAAGAUUUGUACGACAACCGUAUAGUGGU